UUAUCCAACCUUUCAAAAUUGUCAGUGUUUUUUCAUGUGUUUACUCCUGACAUACACUUUUAUUUAACAGUGGCAGAAAACAUAAGUAUUCAUAUGGAUUCCAUUGAUGAUGGGGCUCAACCAAUCACAGAGUUCGAAUCCUGUUUUCCAAUCUCAAGACAUUUACCAAGUUUGAGAUGACCGUAGUUGUUACCUCCACCUACCCCAUCUGUCUCCUUCAUGUGCAGAACUUCCAAAAGCACAUUGGAAACACAACGAAAGACCAGGUGGAGGACAUUGUAUCAUCAGUAACACCAGCCAAGAACUACUUGAUCAAGAUUGUCAAGAGGAUCCAUAAAUGUCUGCUGUGAGACCAGCUCCAGUAAAUAAUAGUGCUAUAUUCCAUGUAGUGAAUGAAAAAAUGUACACUGAACAAAAAUAGAAAUGCAACAAUUUCAAAGAUUUUACUGAGUUACAGUUCAUAUAAGGAAAUCAGUCAACUGAAAUAAAUUCAUUAGG
rnacentral:lncRNA from 1 species